rnacentral:rRNA from 1 species
AUUGAACGCUGGCGGCAGGCCUAACACAUGCAAGUCGAGCGGGGUUUUCGGACCUAGCGGCGGACGGGUGAGUAAUGCGUAGGAGGCUGCCCGAUAGAGGGGAUACCAGUUGGAAACGACUGUUAAUACCGCAUAAUGUCUACGGACCAAAGUGUGGGACCUUCGGGCCACAUGCUAUCGGAUGCGCCUACGUGGGAUUA